UUUGCAUAUUAUAAAUGAAACUUUUAGUGGUUUUCAGCAGGUGGUUUGGUCAGGACCCUGUUAUGGGCUGAAGUGUGUCUACCCCUAAAAUUUAUAUGUUGAAGUCCUAGCUCCAAGUACCUCAAAAUGUGACUGUUUUUGAAGACAAGGUCUUUAAGUAGGUGAUUAAGUUAAAAUGAGUCAUUAGAGUGGGCUCUAAUCUAAUAUGACUAGUGUUGUUUUAAGAAGAGGAAGUUAGGACACAGACACAUACCGAGGGAAGAUGAUGUGAAGACACAGGGAGAAGACAGCCACCUACAAGGCAAGGAGAGAGGCCUCAGGAGAAACCAACCGUGCCAACAUUUUGAUCUCAAACUUCUAGCCUCCAGAACUGUGAGGAAACUGAGGCACAGAGAGCUCAUGCAACUUUCCCCGAGUCUUCCAACUAUUGUCUGAAGGACUUAAACCCAGGAAGUUGGUUACUGAAUUUAUUGUCUAACCAGUAAGACAUACUGCCUUUUUGUGUGGAGCAUAGUGACCUGAGGAAACAUCUUUCUGGAAAGGUUCAAUCUUUCACAUUUGAAUGAUCCUUAUAUAUCCGCAAACUUUCCAGAAGACAACCUGUGGCUAUGUAUUUUUUCAGUUGGCUUGUGCAGCACUUCUCAAAGUGUGGUCAAUGGACUCCUGGGGAGAUCCUCUGUGGAGUCUGUGAGCACUAUUCAGAAUAGCCAAGACAUGGAAACAAUCCAAGUGCCCAUCGAUUGAUGACUGGAUAAAGAAGAUGUGGUAUAUAUAUAUAUACACAGUAGAAUACUACUCAGCUAUAAAAAAAGACAAAAUCAUCCCAUUUGCAACAACAUGGAUGGACCUGGAGGGUAUUAUGCUAAGUGAAAUAAGCCAGACUGAGAAAGGUGAACACCAUAUGAUUUCACUUAUAUGCAAAAUAUAAACAAACACAUGGACAAAGAAAAUAGUUCAGUGGUUACCAGGGGAAGAGGGGUGGAGGGUGGACACAGGGCUUGAAAGGGACCACCCAUGUGGUGACAGACAAGAAAUAACGUACAAGUGAAAUUUCACAAUGAAGUAAACUAUUAUGAACCGCAAUUAAAAAUAAAUAAAUAAAUAAAAGACACCACCACUUUUUGAGUUUCAGUGUAGUGUCAAAAAAAAAGUUCACAAUUAUUUAAUAGCAAUCCACAGUGACUAUUAAAAUACGCGCUCCUCCCUUUUCUAAUAACAUAUCUGUGUGGGGCCAGAUUUUCUUCAUAUACUUUAAUCAAGACAACAUAUCACAACAGAAAGAAUGUAGGAGAUACAAGAAUCCAGUUGUCUUCUAGUAAUCCAGACAUCAAGAGAUUUGCCAAAAUGUAAAACGAUCUCCUCAUUAAUUGUUUUUUUGUUUUGGAAAAUACAGGUAUGUGGUUUUUUGUUUGUUUGUUUUUGGUGAGGAAGGUCAGCCCUGAGCUAACAUCUGUUGCCAAUCUUCCUCUUUUUGCUUGAAGAAGAUUGUCCCU
rnacentral:lncRNA from 1 species